AUAAGCGGAGGAAAAGAAAACUAACAAGGAUUCCCCCUAGUAACUGCGAGUGAACCGGGAAAAGCUCAAAUUUUGAAUCUGGCGGUCGUCGAGGCCGUCCGAAUUGUAAUCUAGAGAAGCGUUUUCCGCGCUGGACCGUGUAUAAGUUUCCUGGAAUGGAACGUCGUAGAGGGUGAGAAUCCCGUCUUUGACACGGACUACCAGGGCUAUGUGAUGCGCUCUCGACGAGUCGAGUUGUUUGGGAAUGCAGCUCAAAUUGGGUGGUAAAUUCCAUCUAAAGCUAAAUACAGGCGAGAGACCGAUAGCGAACAAGUACCGUGAGGGAAAGAUGAAAAGAACUUUGGAAAGAGAGUUAAACAGUACGUGAAAUUGCUGAAAGGGAAACGCUUGAUGUCAGUCGCGUUGGCCGGGGAUCAACCUUGCUUAAUCGCUGGGGGUACUUCCUGGUGGACGGGUCAGCAUCAGUUUUGAUCGUCGGAAAAUGGCUUGAGGAAUGUGGCACUCUUUCGGGAGUGUGUUAUAGACUCUUGUCGAAUACGAUGGUUGGGAUUGAGGAACUCAGCACGACCUUAGGGUUCGGGACUUUGGUCCACGUUUGCGUGCUUAGGAUGCUGGCAUAAUGGCCUUAAGCGACCCGUCUUGAAACACGGACCAAGGAGUCUAACGUGCAUGCGAGUGUUUGGGUGUUAAAACCCGAGCGCGUAAUGAAAGUGAAAGUCGAGACCUCUGUCGUGGAGGGCACCGACGCCCG
rnacentral:rRNA from 1 species